rnacentral:rRNA from 1 species
AUUGAACGCUGGCGGCAGGACUAACACAUGCAAGUCGAACGGUAACAGGAAGAAGCUUGCUUCUUUGCUGACGAGUGGCGGACGGGUGAGUAAUGUCUGGGAAACUGCCUGAUGGAGGGGGAUAACUACUGGAAACGGUAGCUAAUACCGCAUAACGUCGCAAGACCAAAGAGGGGGACCUUCGGGCCUCUUGCCAUCGGAUGUGCCCAGAUGGGAUUAGCUAGUAGGUGGGGUAACGGCUCACCUAGGCGACGAUCCCUAGCUGGUCUGAGAGGAUGACCAGCCACACUGGAACUGAGACACGGUCCAGACUCCUACGGGAGGCAGCAGUGGGGAAUAUUGCACAAUGGGCGCAAGCCUGAUGCAGCCAUGCCGCGUGUAUGAAGAAGGCCUUCGGGUUGUAAAGUACUUUCAGCGGGGAGGAAGGGAGUAAAGUUAAUACCUUUGCUCAUUGACGUUACCCGCAGAAGAAGCACCGGCUAACUCCGUG